rnacentral:rRNA from 1 species
CCCCUAGUAACUGCGAGUGAAGCGGGAAAAGCUCAAAUUUAAAAUCUGGCGGUCUCCGGCCGUCCGAGUUGUAAUCUAGAGAAGUGUUAUCCGCGCUGGACCGUGUACAAGUCUCCUGGAAUGGAGCAUCAUAGAGGGUGAGAAUCCCGUCUUUGACAUGGACUACCAGGGCUUUGUGAUGCGCUCUCAAAGAGUCGAGUUGUUUGGGAAUGCAGCUCAAAAUGGGUGGUAAAUUCCAUCUAAAGCUAAAUAUUGGCGAGAGACCGAUAGCGAACAAGUACCGUGAGGGAAAGAUGAAAAGAACUUUGGAAAGAGAGUUAAACAGUACGUGAAAUUGCUGAAAGGGAAACGCUUGAAGUCAGUCGCGUUGGCCGGGGAUCAACCUUGCUUUUGCUGGGCGUACUUUCCGGUUGACGGGUCAGCAUCAAUUUUGACCGUUGGAUAAAGUUCAGGGGAAUGUGGCAUCUUCGGAUGUGUUAUAGCCCUUGGUCGCAUACAACGGUUGGGAUUGAGGAACUCAGCACGCCGCAAGGCCGGGUACUUGUACCACGUUCGUGCUUAGGAUGCUGGCAUAAUGGCUUUAAUCGACCCGUCUUGAAACACGGACCAAGGAGUCUAACAUGCCUGCGAGUGUUUGGGUGGAAAACUCGGACGCGUAAUGAAAGUGAAAGUUGAGAUCCCUGUCGUGGGGAGCAUCGACGCCCGGACCAGACCUUUUGUGACGGAUCCGCGGUAGAGCAUGUAUGUUGGGACCCGAAAGAUGGUGAACUAUGCCUGAAUAGGGUGAAGCCAGAGGAAACUCUGGUGGAGGCUCGUAGCGAUUCUGACGUGCAAAUCGAUCGUCAAAUUUGGGUAUAGGGGCGAAAG